rnacentral:rRNA from 1 species
CCUACGGGGGACAGCAGUGAGGAAUAUUGGUCAAUGGCCGGAAGGCUGAACCAGCCAAGCCGCGUGAAGGACGAAGGUGCCAAGCAUUGUAAACUUCUUUUGUCAAGGGACAAAAUCAGGCUCGAGAGCCUGACCGAGUUGACUUGAAGAAAAAGCAUCGGCUAACUCCGUGCCAGCAGCCGCGGUAAUACGGAGGAUGCGAGCGUGAUCCGGAUUGAUGGGGUUUAAAGGGUGCGUAGGCGGACUGUUAAGUCAGCGGUAAAAGCCCGGGGCUCAACCCCGGCGAGCCGUUGAAACUGGCGGUCUUGAGAGGGCGAGAGGUAUGCGGAAUGCGCAGUGUAGCGGUGAAAUGCUUAGAUAUUGCGCAGAACUCCGAUUGCGAAGGCAGCAUACCGGCGGAGAUCUGACGCUGAGGCACGAAAGCGUGGGUAUCGAACAGGAUUAGAUACCCCAGUAGUC